GGCCUGGACGGCGGAGGGGUGGAAGCCGGCGGCGAGGGAGAUGCAGUGGGCGGGGCGGGUUGGGGAGUAGACGGUGGAGGCAGUGACGGGGUGGCCGGAGGUGGCGCGGAAGUCGGCGGGGGCCGAGAAGGAGUGGGCGGCGUUGCAGCGGAAGGCGGAGGCGGUGACGGAGUGGUUGUUGGUGGUGGUGUAGUGGACGGCGGAGGUUGCGUUGGAGUCGAUGGUGGCGGAGCACUAGGGGUUGGUGGCGGCGGAGACGUCGUAUUGGUCGCCGGCGGAGACGUCGGCGCCGG
rnacentral:misc_RNA from 1 species